AUGAACGCUGGCGGCGUGACUAAUACAUGCAAGUCGAGCGAACGGACGAGAAGCUUGCUUCUCUGAUGUUAGCGGCGGACGGGUGAGUAACACGUGGAUAACCUACCUAUAAGACUGGGAUAACUUCGGGAAACCGGAGCUAAUACCGGAUAAUAUUUUGAACCGCAUGGUUCAAAAGUGAAAGACGGUCUUGCUGUCACUUAUAGAUGGAUCCGCGCUGCAUUAGCUAGUUGGUAAGGUAACGGCUUACCAAGGCAACGAUGCAUAGCCGACCUGAGAGGGUGAUCGGCCACACUGGAACUGAGACACGGUCCAGACUCCUACGGGAGGCAGCAGUAGGGAAUCUUCCGCAAUGGGCGAAAGCCUGACGGAGCAACGCCGCGUGAGUGAUGAAGGUCUUCGGAUCGUAAAACUCUGUUAUUAGGGAAGAACAUAUGUGUAAGUAACUGUGCACAUCUUGACGGUACCUAAUCAGAAAGCCACGGCUAACUACGUG
rnacentral:rRNA from 1 species